GAAGCUGUGAACCCCGUCAGGCCCGGAAGGGAGCAGCGGCAGCAGUGGCAUCGUGUGCCGGGGUGUGGCUGGUACCC
rnacentral:SRP_RNA from 1 species